UGAGUUGAUUUUAUAUGCCAAAGAUGGUUUCUUUAAUCUUGGUAUUCAUAGUGCAUAUAUUCCAAAGCAUACCAAGUACACAUUAUCAUAUUUAUGAUUAAUAAACAAUAAUGCCAUGGAUACAAAUUCUUAAUCAAACAUAUAAAGAAUUCAUAGAGUUAUUCUUAAUAAAUUAAUUAAUCAUUUAGCAACUUAUCCAAUAGUGAGUGGAGCAUACUAUAAAAAUGAAGUGAUUUGAAUAUAUUUUCUUUUCAUACCCAAGAAAAAAAA
rnacentral:lncRNA from 1 species